UACGUAGGGGGCAAGCGUUAUCCGGAUUUACUGGGUGUAAAGGGAGCGUAGACGGCACUGCAAGUCUGGAGUGAAAGCCCGAGGCCCAACCCCCGGACUGCUCUGGAAACUAUGUGACUGGAGUGCAGGAGAGGUGAGCGGAAUUCCUAGUGUAGCGGUGAAAUGCGUAGAUAUUAGGAGGAACACCAGUGGCGAAGGCGGCUCACUGGACUGUAACUGACGUUGAGGCUCGAAAGCGUGGGGAGCAAACAGG
rnacentral:rRNA from 1 species